rnacentral:ncRNA from 2 species
UCGCGGGGCGCUCGCGAUUUGUCCGGCCAGCUUGCGGCGAGCAUAAACAACCGCGCUAAACGGCCGUGCGGGGGGCGUG